CUAAACCGACUCUACAGUGUUAUUUUAGUUAUUGGUGUAAAACAUGAUUUGGUCUCGUUCCCCGAGAAAUCCAAAAAUUUGGUCUACUGUUGAAGCUGUCAAACUAAAUGGAACAAAAGUUAAAUUCAUAAUUCAAGAAAUAUCUCCGAAUAGAUACAAAGAAGCUCUAGGUCAUUUGUGCACUGUUUUCAUCACAAGUGAAGCGAUGUGUCGAAGUUUGAAGGCACUAUCCAAAUAAAUACCGAAAUGUGCAGAUCAAUCCAGCAAGUGUAACAAUACAGUGUAUAGAGGAUAGAGGCAAAGUCUGUCUUAUACAAAAUGGCUUCUAUGGUUUUUUUAAUUUGUAUUUUAUUUUUUUUUACCAUAGCUUUAAAAAAUAAGUACAAUAACAUAGUUAGUAAGAAAAAAUUUGUUACAAGAAAAAUAAGCAUACGGUAUUAUCGUAAGACACAUCAUAUGAUGACAAACCAAAAAUUGUUUUUAUAAAAUUAUUGUUCAAGUUGUUUAAGGACAUUUGUUACUUAUGUAAAUAUGAUUUUGAAAGCAAAAAAAUAAAUGACCUUUUUAAAAC